UUGGAAUGAUAGAAAUUUAAACACUUUUUAAAGUAUCAAUUGGAGGGCAAGUCUGGUGCCAGCAGCCGCGGUAAUUCCAGCUCCAAUAGCGUAUAUUAAAAUUGUUGCAGUUAAAAAGCUCGUAGUUGAAUUUCUGCUAAAAAUAACCGGUCUGCUUUUUUAUGAAAGUGGUAUCUUGGUGUGUUUUUAGCAAUAAUGUCCUUUGAAAUGGUUUUUACUUUAUUGUAAAAAGCAAUAUUCAGGAUUUUUACUUUGAGAAAAUUAGAGUGUUUCAAGCAGGCUUACGUUUUGAAUACUGCAGCAUGGAAUAAUAAAAUAGGAUUUUAGUUCUACUUUGUUGGUUUAAAGAACUAAAUUAAUGAUUGAUAGGGACAGUUGGGGGCAUUUGUAUUUAACUGUCAGAGGUGAAAUUCUUAGAUUUGUUAAAGACAAACUACUGCGAAAGCAUUUGCCAAAGAUGUUUUCAUUAAUCAAGAACGAAAGUUAGGGGAUCGAAGA
rnacentral:rRNA from 1 species